rnacentral:lncRNA from 1 species
AAAAAAAAACAAAUUAAAAUUAAAAUUUAGGAUUUUAAUACUUAAAUUAAAACUAUAAGUACCAAAUUAAAACUUUGAUAAAACUAUCGGGACUAAUACUGAAGAGCAAACAAUGUAUAAAGCAUUAACUAAUAAUUGGCUCGUUGCGGGCUGGCGCAACUUACAAGGCUCGAAUCGUGACCGUCUAACGAUGAGAUCAAAAGUCGGCGUGGACCCCAAGUCUGGUCUUGGUUUCUUUUAAUCACACCAAUGGUGGUGGUUCAGUGGUUGUGCCAUCUUAGAAAGUUCCAGUUUAUUUUGAUUUUUAAUUAUUUUGAUUUUUUUUUGAUUUUUUUAAUUAUUUAAUAAUAAUUUUAUAUCUUCGGGUUUUCUUAACAAAAAAAUAUAAAAAUAUAAAAUUUGAUCAAUUCUUUUUUUACUAAAGACAAAAAGAACUUGUUUUUCAAGUGAAUAUAUAUAUAUAUAUAUAUAUUUAUUUAUUUAAUAUGAUUUUUUCAAAUUAAAUUAAACGUUUUUACAUUUUCAAAUUACACUUGUCAAGAGUGACUAGACAAAUAAAAAAUUAUAAUGAAAUAGUAAAAAAAAUAAAUAUAAAGAUAAAAAAUACAAAAAAAAACCUUCAUGCUGUUCAAACUAGGCGUAAGAUUAUCAUGGCCACGAUAGCUACAUAACUAUAUAUAUUUAUCUUCAAAUAAUUUGGUUGCAAACUAGAUUUUAAAUAAAUAAUUAUUCUUCUCCUAAAAAGUUUUACUGAUUGUAUAACAAUCGGUUAUCCAAUCUACUUGCCUUACUUCUUUUCCUACAUGAUUUAUUUUUUAGAUGCUUUGGUUUCUAUUUUUUUCGUCUUUAUUGAACUUUUCUGAUUUCUCUUUAAGAGAGAGUACUGAAAAUAUAAAAAUCUUAUUCAAAUUUAUAAAAAUAUCCACUAAAAACUAAAAAAAAAAUUAAUUUUACUCAAAUAAAAACCAUAAAUUUGAGUAAAUUUUUUUUUGGAGGGGGUGGGUUUAGGAGUGGAGCAAGAAGAGAUUCUGAUUGUUUUAAAGUUCCAAAAAAAAACUUUAGGGGUUGAUCUUGGUAGAAAAUUAAACUCUAUAAUUUUUAGUGUAAUAAUUUAAUCUUAGAUUUUGAUCUAUCACAAUUAAAAUCUACUUCAUUUUAAUUUUGGCGAAACCAAUUAACUCUGUUGCAAAAAUCGAGAAAAUAACGUCUUUUAAAUGUUAUUAUCAUCUAAUAUAUGCAAUUAAGAGACUCAUUUUAGGCAAAACUUGAAAAGUAACUUGAAUUUUAACUUUAAAAUUAAAGCGCGCUAAUUGCAAUUCAAUUAAGAUUUUUUUAAAUGUUGAUAACUUUGAAACAUUUCGCAUUUUCCUAUUUUUUUUUUUGCAAAAAAAUGUAUUGAUUAAUGUUCAAUUUCUAAUGACAGAUAAAAAAAGAAUUUAACUAUAAUAAGAUCAAAACUCUAAGAUUUAAUUUGUUACUCGGAUCAAAUCCUAAAACUUUUUUUUGUACUUUCCCCCUUCUUUGUUUUUUAAUAAAUGACUCUGCUUGUUACAGCUAUGUAAUAAACAUGUGUGUUGAAUGAUGUGAUGUUAGUUUUCCCAAUUUUCCUUGUGCAAGUAUGUCACAAACAAAACACACAAUCUUUUGUCCUUUCUCAAAUAACUUUGAAAGAUGCACAUGCUUGACAUUUUUUUGCUGAUUCGGUUUCAAAUUUUUUUAAAUUGGUUUCGUUAUUUGGAUUUUUGCUGAUUUCGGGUUUGUCCUUUCUCAAAUAUAUAUAUAUUAUAAUAGACAGAGAGAGAGAGAGUGGGGGGCAUUUUGGGUCAUUUCAUAAGGAGCAGGGGGAAAAGUGGUAAUCAGGGGUGUCAGGAUAUAUUUUCAAACCUCAGGGGGCAAGGUCCCUAGCUGUAUUUUUCAAACGUCCCAAGAGUGCUUUGUGUAUUAAGAAAAAAUCUCAGGGGAGAUCAUUGUAAAUUCUCCCCUUUUUAUUGGUCGUUGAUGGAUUUUUUUACAAGUGAAUCAAAAUAUAAAAACUUAAAUCUAAUUUUUUUAAAACAAAAAUCAUUAGAGAUAAAAAAAAUAUUUUUACACUCAACAAAAAUAAUUUAAUUUUUUAAGAGUUUUUCUCUUGAGACCCUAAACAAUUAUAAUAAUCUUAUCUAUUUUUAAAAACUUAAUUUAACAAUUCUAUAAUUCCAAAAUAUACCACAAACCCCUCUUUAAACAUGUAAUAAAUAUCCAAAUUCCUAUAUAUAAAAUAUUUUUUUCAAAAAAAAUAACAAUUAAAAACCAUUAUAAUUCUUCCCAUAUUUAUCAAACCUUAUUCUCUCUUAAUUACCUCUCUCUCUAUCUCUCUAUCUAUAUAUAUAUAUAUAUAUAUAUAUAUAUAUAUAUAUAAUAUUUGUAUAGGCAACACAUAUUUUUAUCCCUUAUCAAUUUAAAAAAAGAUCAUUAAUAAAAAAUUCGAGUUUGAAAACUUAAGGGAAUGAAAGUUGUCACA